UGAAGGUUGGACGAGGGAUGAGCUGUCUCCUUUACGUAAUUUGAAUUUAACUUUUGAGUGAAAAGGCUCAAAUUAUUUAGUGGGACGAUAAGACCCUAUAAAACUUUAUAUAAGUUUAAUUUGGCUUACAAUUUGAGUGAAAAGUAGCUUUAUUAGGUUUAUAUUUCGUUGGGGAGAUGUAGAUAUAAUGUGUAACUGUCUGUUUAAUUUAAUAAUUAUAAUUAGUGUGUGAUCCUUCUUUGUGGAUUAAAAGUAUAAGUUACUUUAGGGAUAACAGCGUGAUUUUCUUUGAGAGUUCUUAUCGACAAGAGUAGUUGCGACCUCCAUGUUGAAUUAAAAUUUCGGUUAGGUGUAGCCGUCUAGCUGGUAGGUCUGUUCGACCUUUAAAAUUUUACAUGAUUUGAGUUCAAACCGGUGUGAGCCAGGUUGGUUUCUAUCUAAA
rnacentral:rRNA from 1 species